rnacentral:lncRNA from 1 species
AAUGGUAACAUCAUCACCUUAUGGAGUUUUCAACAUCCUGAGUUAGAGCAGCAAUGACUGACUCCUGAACAAGACCCAGUGAGCUCCUGACCAAACACGGCAGAGGGAAAGCUGUCCUUGUCACCUUAACUUCCCACUAUAACCCAGGGUGUGACCAGACCCCCAGAAAUCUCAAUAAGUUCAUGAAUGCAUAAAACAAGUGACCUGAUAUUCAACAGAGAUUUUACCCAGGGAGCAGGAUGGAUUGAAAGCAUCACAUGUUGCUGAGGCUGUGCCACUCUGCUCAUACCUAAACAAAAGCAAGUUAAACCGGGAUCAUCCAUUUUCUCUGGUGAGCCAAGCAGCACCUUCCUGGCACAUUUACAGGCAGCCAGAUGAGCCUGAAGAGGUCUCGGCUGCUGGAGCUGGCUGGAGCAGUUGAUCGGCUUACCUACUGUCCUGCCAGGAUCAGGGCUUGAAUGAGGGCAAGCUGGCUGUGACCCAACCCAGAUAAGUCUAAGGGUGUGCUGACAGGCUAGGGAAGAGAGGGAGCUGGGAGAACUUCUGCUCUCUGUGACAAUUGCUUGCUUUUUAUUGUUCAGAUUUUCAGACCCGGGGAUCUCAGUGUACUGGCUUCUGCCCAUCAAUUAAUUAUGAAAAGAAUGAAAGAUGGUCUGUUUGCUUUUUUGGGGCUGCUUUUCUGGAUCAGAACACUCUUCUGAACAUGGGUCUUUCGAGUCAUCUUUCCAAGUCAUCUAGACAGUGCACUUCAAAAAUCUAGGCUACUCUCAUCACUGUGCCUGAC